CGGCUCAGUAACACGUGGAUAACCUACCCUCAGAUCUGGGAUAACUCCGGGAAACUGGAGAUAAUACCGGAUAAUCCGUGAACGCUGGAAUGCCUUACGGUUGAAAGCUUUAGCGUCUGAGGAUGGGUCUGCGGCCGAUUAGGUAGUUGCUGGGGUAACGUCCCAACAAGCCGAUAAUCGGUACGGGUUGUGAGAGCAAGAGCCCGGAGAUGGAUUCUGAGACACGAAUCCAGGUCCUACGGGGCGCAGCAGGCGCGAAAACUUUACACUGCGCGAAAGCGCGAUAAGGGGACCUCGAGUGCGUGCGCAAAGCGUACGCUUUUCAGAUGCCUAAAAAGCAUCUGGAAUAAGGGCCGGGCAAGACCGGUGCCAGCCGCCGCGGUAACACCGGCGGCUCAAGUGGUGGCCGCUAUUAUUGGGCUUAAAGGGUCCGUAGCCGGACCAGUUAGUCCCUUGGGAAAUCUUCCGGCUUAACCGUAAGGCUGCCAAUGGAUACUGCUGGUCUUGGGACCGGGAGAGGCAAGAGGUACCUCAGGGGUAGGAGUGAAAUCCUGUAAUCCUUGAGGGACCGCCAGUGGCGAAGGCGUCUUGCUAGAACGGGUCCGACGGUGAGGGACGAAAGCUAGGGGCACGAACCGGAUUAGAUACCCGGGUAGUCCUAGCCGUAAACGAUGCGAGCUAG
rnacentral:rRNA from 1 species